rnacentral:rRNA from 1 species
UGGGGGAUAUUGGACAAUGGGGGCAACCCUGAUCCAGCGAUACCGCGUGUGUGAAGAAGGCCUGGGUUGUAAAGCACUUUCAGUGGGGAGGAGAGGUUAGUGGUUAAGAGCCUAUAGCUGAGACAUUACCCACAGAAGAAGCACCGGCUAACUCCGUGCCAGCAGCCGCGGUAAUACGGAGGGUGCGAGCGUUAAUCAGAAUUACUGGGCGUAAAGCGUGCGUAGGUGGUUAAUUAAGUUAUCUGUGAAAUCCCUGGGCUUAACCUGGGCAGGUCAGAUAAGACUGGUUGACUCGAGUAUAGGAGAGGGUAGUGGAAUUUCCGGUGUAGCGGUGAAAUGCGUAGAGAUCGGAAGGAACACCAGUGGCGAAGGCGGCUACCUGGCCGAAUACUGACACUGAGGCACGAAAGCGUGGGGAGCAAACAGG